rnacentral:RNase_P_RNA from 1 species
GUAUUAUCAUGAGGAAAGUCCGGGCUUCACAGGGCAAGGAUAACGGAUAACGUCCGCCGGAGGCGACUCCCGGGAAAGUGCAACAGAAAAUAACCGCUGCUUUGCAGUAAGGAUGAAAAGGCGAGGUAAGAGCUCACCUCUCCCGUGGUAACACGGGAGGAUGUGUAAACCCUAUCCGAAGCAACACCUGUAUGUAAAGGUUUGCCCGACCGCAGUUUAACUGAACAACAGGUGGCAAGCACAAAAACCACGUGCUGAGCCGAGUGGCAACAUUCGGCAAAGAUAGAUGAUUGUUCAAGACAGAACCCGGCUUACAGGAUUGGUC